rnacentral:lncRNA from 1 species
UUGCAUUUUCAAUGUCUCAUUCUAGACCUAAAACUGAAUGUGAAAAGGGCUUGCCGGAGUUGGAUAUUCCGGCAUCCGUAUUACAGCAGAUCAUAAUCCAGAUAUUCGGAGAUGACGAUGAGAGCAAAGAUGUAAAUGAUGGAGGCGUUCUUGAUGAGGGCCAAUACUGUAAAAUCACAUCCUCAUCAUCCCGGAAAAUCUUGCCGGAUUUGGAGAGUUGCAAGCCAAAGAAGAAACGGCGGUAUCGGAGUAUCAACAACCUCUACUUGGCUACCAAGCCAAUGAAACGUUUUGGGUUGCAAAUUUAUAAAGAAUAAUGGUAGUGGUGGAUCCUACAAAAGACGUUAUUUUAAAUCAAUAGGAUAAUAAUGUUACGAUUGUGCUGUGUACAUGGACAUAAUGAUUUACGUGAUGGUUUAUAUACACGUGAUGUGGUGAAAUAUGAUUGGAUCAUAAUUCCUUUAAAAAAAAAAAAAAAACCACAGCACCUACUCCACUCUCUUUUUGACACCACAUUUAUAUGUAAACCAUUAUGUAAUUCUAUUAUGUACAAAUAACAUUAUUUUUAAUGUUAAUUUUCUUACUUUUCGAAUGAGAAUUUUAGUGUGUUCAUUUUGUUUGUUUCAUGAGUAGGACGAAAUGCCAAAAGAAAGCAAAUCGAAGAAGGAAGGACGGCGUAAGAGUAUCAAUAACCUCUACUUGGCUACCAAACCAAUGAAACGUUUUAGGUUGCAUAUUUAUAAAGAAUGAUGUUAGUAAGAGAAAUAAUAGUGGAUUCUAUGAAAGAAGCGAUUCUAGAUCAAUAAGGUAAUGUUGUAAGUCAUAUAAAAUUUGUAAUUAAAAUUAAUUAAGCCAUAUUAUUUUUGAAGAAUGUGUGUUGAAAUAGUAAAUUGAUGAAGAAUGUGUAGUUAAAAAGAAAAAGAAAAAAAAUUGUUCUGCACGAAACAUUAUUUUAAUGAAGAAUAUGUGAUUGAAAAAAAAAAAAAUCAAAAAAAUGCAUUUUAAGUAAAAUGGUAAUCGAUCACCCCCUUAAUUAUUAUUAAAAUUUUAAGCUACACCAAACAGGAGCUAAGGUGAAGCACUCACUGAAGUCCAAUCACUCAUCCACCUGAAUAAAUAAGAUAGGAAAAAACCUAAUUUACCCUCUAAACGUAUAGAUCGAAUCAUCGAAGUUGUGUAAAUAGUAACGUUAUUAUCUUUUUUUAUGAGCUGCAUAUAUACUACUGAGUAUGAAUUUGCCGAAAUUUUACUACGAAUGAAGAGGAAACUCGUGUGAAUACUGAUGGUAUAAAAUGGGCCAAAUCUAUUCGACCCGUAUUUUACUUCCUAUAGGACAUUAUACAGGUAAAUACGAGACUUUAGUUUAGACUAAAAAGUACGAAACCUUUAUCACGAUAUAUUUGUUCUCUGACUAUUUCUCUUGGCUUACAAUUGGGACUCGGUACAUGUUUGAUAGGUAUUUUGAUAUUUUGACCGUUAGAGAUGAAGUGAAUCUCACCUGUUUGAGAAAAAUUCAAAAAUGACGCGGUAUCGGAGUAUCAACAACCUCUACUUGGCUACCAAGCCAAUGAAACGUUUUGGGUUGCAAAUUUAUAAAGAAUAAUGGUAGCGGUGAAUCCUACAAAAGACGUUAUUUUAAAUCAAUAGGAUAAUAAUGUUACGAUUGUGCUGUGUACAUGGACAUAAUGAUUUACGUACUGGUUUAUAUACACGUGAUGUGGUGAAAUAUGAUUGGAUCAUAAUUCUUUCAACCAAAAAAAAAAAGACCUUCUCCACUCCCUUUUUGACACCACAUUUAUAUGUAAACCAUUAUGUAAUUCUAUUAUGUACAAAUAACAUUAUUUUUAAUGUUAAUUUUCUUGCUUUUCGAAUGAGAAUUUUAGUGAGUGCAUUUUGUUUGUUUCAUGAGUAGGACGAAAUGCCAAAAGAAAGCAAAUCGAAGAAGGAAGGACGGCGUAAGAGUAUCAAUAACCUCUACUUGGCUACCAAACCAAUGAAACGUUUUAGGUUGCAAAUUUAUAAAGAACGAUGUUAGUAAGAGAAAUAAUAGUGGAUUCUAUGAAAGACGCG